CGUGACUUGCCCAAUUUGAUACACGAGCCGAACCACUGAUUCGAAACAAAAGAUUCCGAAGCUUCAUGAAGCAGUGUUUCAAAAGCGGCCAUCACUACAAUAAAUAGCUUGUCAGAUUUUCUAACAAGCAACCAUAUUUUUUAAAAACAAGCCAAAAAAAACGCAACCUGCGAUUUUUUCAAUCCCAGAGACGCGUAUUAUAACUUUGAUUUGGCAACUCUGGCACAAAUCUUAUCCCACCGAACGUAACCUUAUCUCCUAGUUUCCUUGUAGUAAUUACGACUUGACAGGCCGUUCAUGUCCAACUUCCGACUAGGAAAAUCGUAUUCACGAUAAUUCCGAUAGCACGUGAAGGCAGUAUAAGUCGAAUAUAGCAAUACGCACGCGCAAAAUGACGUUUGACAUCGUAGAGAUUUUGCUAGUGGUAUCGAAAGUCUUGCUAUCCCUUUUAGCCAAGCGUAGGCCAGUAAACCAUCUUUGGUAAGACACUGGAAUCCAGAACAGCGAAUUCAGAAAAGGACCCGUUGUCACCAAAAGCCACAUUUGUUGUUGUAAUAAUCUUCGUGCUGGGCAUUUAUUUAGGCCUAGGCAUCAGGGCUGAGAAUAGAGGAUGGAAGGAGUCAUGUGGCCUUAGUGUUCUGUUUAUGACCGAUCAGAAGCUAGGAAGUGAUGUCCAAGAGGAUGUAGCUGUAGCGCUGCUGGUCUGUACAUAAAUGGUCACAUGCACACACCUCAGAGGGUUUCAGGGGAAAUGGUUACUGCCCAGACCACCACCCCUCUGCAUUAGUUUAGUAUAGUAUAGCACAGAAAGAAAUGUGCCAAAUUCAAGUAGUGGAAGUGAAAAGUUUUUGUGUUCAAUGUGAAUUGUGGCAAAUGCAUUAUUGUUUUACUGGGAGUAAAAUUUGCUGAAAAAAUUUCUAUGUACAGUUAUGUGGUAAAAAAAAAAAGUACACCUCAUGGAAAUUUAGUUUUUAGACCUAAUUUCAGUCAUUAAUUUGACAGAAAUAUAUAUAUAUAUAUGUGUGUAUAUAUAUAUAUGUGUGU
ensembl:lncRNA